AGUGAACGCUGGCGGUAGGCCUAACACAUGCAAGUCGAACGGCAGCACAGUAAGAGCUUGCUCUUACGGGUGGCGAGUGGCGGACGGGUGAGGAAUACAUCGGAAUCUACUUUUUCGUGGGGGAUAACGUAGGGAAACUUACGCUAAUACCGCAUACGACCUACGGGUGAAAGCAGGGGAUCUUCGGACCUUGCGCGAUUGAAUGAGCCGAUGUCGGAUUAGCUAGUUGGCGGGGUAAAGGCCCACCAAGGCGACGAUCCGUAGCUGGUCUGAGAGGAUGAUCAGCCGCACUGGAACUGAGACACGGUCCAGAUUCCUACGGGAGGCAGCAGUGGGGAAUAUUGGACAAUGGGCGCAAGCCUGAUCCAGCCAUACCGCGUGGGUGAAGAAGGCCUUCGGGUUGUAAAGCCCUUUUGUUGGGAAAGAAAAGCAGCAGGUUAAUACCCCGCUGUUCUGACGGUACCCAAAGAAUAAGCACCGGCUAACUUCGUG
rnacentral:rRNA from 1 species